CAGGGUGACCAACCAUUCUGGUUUGCCCAGGAGUGUCCCGUUUUAUCACUAAAAGUUCCAUAUCCAGGAACACCCGUCAGUCCUGGGCAAGCUAGCAUGGUUGGUCAUCCUACAACCAG
rnacentral:pre_miRNA from 2 species